rnacentral:rRNA from 1 species
ACUCGGCGAAAUCGCAGUACGAGUAAAGAUGCUCGUUUAGCGCAGAAAGACGGAAAGACCCCGGGACCUUUACUAUACUUUGACAUUGGUACUCGGAACGGUUUGUGUAGGGAGUUACGUAGGCAAAUCCGCGUAACGUUUAACUGAGACGUGAUGCCGAGCCGAAUGGCGAAGUGGAUGAUCCUAUGCUGUCAAGAAAAGCAUCUAGCGAGAACUUAAGUGGCCCGUACCCGAAACCGACACAGGUGGUCAGGUAGAGAAUACCAAGGCGAUCGAGAGAAUCGUGGAUAAGGAACUCGGCAAAAUACCCCCGUAACUUCGGGAGAAGGGGGGCCAAUUUACGUGUAGGAGUUUUCCUCCGAAGCGUGAGUCGGCCGCAGAGACUAGGCUCAAGCGACUGUUUACCAAAAACACAGGUCCGUGCGAAGUUGCAAAACGAUGUAUACGGACUGACGCCUGCCCGGUGCUGGAAGGUUAAGGGGACUGGUUAGCCGCAAGGCGAAGCUGAGAACUUAAGCCCCAGUAAACGGCGGUGGUAACUAUAACCAUCCUAAGGUAGCGAAAUUCCUUGUCGGGUAAGUUCCGACCUGCACGAAUGGCGUAACGACUUGAGCGCUGUCUCAUCCGCGAACUCGGCGAAAUUGCAGUACGAGUAAAGAUGCUCGUUUAGCGCAGAAAGACGGAAAGACCCCGGGACCUUUACUAUACUUUGACAUUGGUACUCGGAACGGUUUGUGUAGCAUAGGUGGGAGACUUUGAAGCUGGGACGCCAGUCCUGGUGGAGUCAUCGUUGAAAUACCACUCUGAUCGUUUUGAGUUUCUAACCUCGGUCCGUGAUCCGGAUCAGGGACAGUGUCUGACGGGUAGUUUGACUGGGGCGGUCGCCUCCCAAAAAGUAACGGAGGCGCUCAAAGGUUCCCUCAGCCUGGUUGGCAAUCAGGUGUUGAGUGUAAGUGCACAAGGGAGCUUAACUGUGAGACAGACAUGUCGAGCAGGUACGAAAGUAGGAACUAGUGAUCCGGCGGUGGCUUGUGGAAGCGCCGUCGCUCAACGGAUAAAAGGUACCCCGGGGAUAACAGGCUGAUCUUGCCCAAGAGUCCAUAUCGACGGCAAGGUUUGGCACCUCGAUGUCGGCUCGUCGCAUCCUGGGGCUGGAGUAGGUCCCAAGGGUUGGGCUGUUCGCCCAUUAAAGCGGUACGUGAGCUGGGUUCAGAACGUCGUGAGACAGUUCGGUCCCUAUCUUCUGUGCUCGUAAGAAACUUGAGAAGGGCUGUCCCUAGUACGAGAGGACCGGGACGGACGAACCUCUGGUGUGUCGGUUGUAGCGCCAGCUGCACCGCCGAUUAGCUACGUUCGGAAGGGAUAACCGCUGAAAGCAUCUAAGCGGGAAGCUCGCUUCAAGAUUAGGUUUCUCAUUGGUUUACCAAGUAAGGCCCCCAGCUAGACGACUGGGUUGAUAGGCCGGAAGUGGAAGAGUCGCGAGACUUGGAGCUGACCGGUACUAAUAGGCCGAGGAUUUAACUAC